rnacentral:snoRNA from 1 species
UUACAUGAUGAUCAUUUCGUAUUAUAUACGCUGGAAAUUACCGUCCAAGGUCUUCGGAUCACUGACGAUAACUAAUGGCUUGACUGAUA